CCCUUAGAUGUUCUGGGCCGCACGCGUGCUACACUGAGUAAAUCAAUGGGUAAGGGAACACGAAAGUGCAACCUAAUCUUGAAAUUUGCUCGUGAUGGGGAUCGACGGUUGCAAUUUUCCGUCGUGAACGAGGAAUACCUUAUAGGCGCGUGUCAUCAUCACGCGCCGAAUACGUCCCUGCCCUUUGUACACACCGCCCGUCGCUCCUACCGAUUGAGUGAUCCGGUGAGGCUCUGGGACCUGGACGGAAAGAGCGUUUCGCUUGUUCUGUUUGGGAAACUUGGUCGAACCUUAUCAUUUAGAGGAAGGAGAAGUCGUAACA
rnacentral:rRNA from 1 species